rnacentral:rRNA from 1 species
GAUGAACGCUGGCGGCGUGCCUAAUACAUGCAAGUCGAGCGAAUGGACGAGAAGCUUGCUUCUCUGAUGUUAGCGGCGGACGGGUGAGUAACACGUGGAUAACCUACCUAUAAGACUGGGAUCACUUCGGGAAACCGGAGCUAAUACCGGAUGAUAUUUUGAACCGCAUGGCUCAUAAGUUAAAGACUGUCUUGCUGUCACUUAUAGAUGGAUCCACUCUGCAUUAGCUGGUUGGUAAGGUAACGGCUUACCAAGGCAACGAUGCAUAGCCGACCUGAGAGGGUGGUCGGCCACAGUGGAUCAGAGACACGGUCCAAACUCCUACGGGAGGACGCAGUAGGGAAUCUUCCGUCUGGGAGGUGAGCAUGACGAAGCAAAGCCGCGUGAGUGAUGAGAGUCUUCGAUUCGUAAAAAUCUGUUAGUAAGGACGACCAUAUGUGUAAGUAACUGUGCACAUCUUGACGGUACCUAAUCAGAAAGCCACGGCUAAAUACGUG